GUGCCAGCCGCCGCGGUAAUACCAGCUCCACGAGUGGUCAGGACGGUUAUUGGGCCUAAAGCGUCCGUAGCCGGCUCAGCAAGUUUAUGGUGAAAUCCGUCGUCUCAAGCGUCGGAGUGCUGUAAAUACUGCUGGGCUAGGGAGUGGGAGAGGCCGAGGGUACCUCCGGGGUAGGGGCGAAAUCCUAUAAUCCCGGAGUGACGACAGUGGCGAAAGCGCUCGGCUAGAACACGUCCGACGGUGAGGGACGAAAGCUGGGGCAGCAAACCGGAUUAGAUACCCGGGUAGUCCCAGCCGUAAACCAUGCGGGCUAGUUGUCGGAGCGGCUUAGUGCCGCUCCGGUAACGCAGGGAAGCCAUUAAGCCCGCCGCCUGGGGAGUACGACCGCAAGGUUGAAACUUAAAGGAAUUGCGGGGGAGCACCACAAGGGGUGAAGCUUGCGGCUCAAUUGGAGUCAACGCCGGAAAACUCACCAGGGGAGACAGCAGUAUGAAGGCCAAGCUAACGACUUUGCCAGACGCGCUGAGAGGAGGCGCAUGGCCGUCGCCAGCUCGUGUUGUGAAACGUCCGGUCAAGUCCGGGAACGAGCGAGACCUCCGUCUUUAGUUGCAACCCUUCAGGGGGCACACUAAAGAGACCGCCACCGAUUAAGGUGGAGGAAGGAGGAGGCAACGGCAGGUCAGCAUGCCCCGAAACCUCUGGGCUGCACGCGAGCUGCAAUGGCAGGUACAAUGGGAUCUGACCCCGUAAGGGGAAAGCAAUCCUCAAAGCCUGCCUCAGUUGGGAUCGAGGGCUGCAACCCGCCCUCGUGAACCUGGAAUCCCUAGUAAUCGCGUGUCAACACCGCGCGGUGAAUACGUCCCUGCUCCUUGCACACACCGCCCGUC
rnacentral:rRNA from 1 species